GCCCGACGUGGGAUUCGAUCCCGGGUCUCCAGGAUCGUGCCCUGGGCCAAAGGCAGGCGCUAAACCGCUGCGCCACCCAGGGAUCCCUGCUAAUUUGACUUUAAUUUGUUCUUCUAUAUUCUACUCAGUAAGGUCCUGAGUCAGACAGAGCUGUCUCUGGCAACAGAAAGGAUGGAAAAGGAGAUAUCUAAAAUAAGACAACUGUGUGAUGCCGGUACUCAUAAUUCAGUUAUGAGCUUCUGUUGUAGUAAGUGUCUAUAUUGCUAUGAACAACCAGGACUAUGCCAGAAUGUUGGAGCAGUAAGGACCAAAGACCCACGUUUCAGAUUAAGACUGUCAUUGACUGAAAUCUGCUUAUAGGAAAACACCGUUAGCUGAAAGAUUCUACAUCCAAUUCAACAGAAUGUCCUGCCAACUCUACCUCCAAAGUCAAUCCAAAGUGGACAACCUCUCACCCUUUCUAUUAUCUGGCAUCAACCACUACCAGUAAUCAAGCCACAUACGAUGCAUCCAUCUAAUCUCCACCUCCAUGUUUUCAUGUUCAAAUUUCCCAUUUCUUAAAGGAGCAUCUUUCAUACUGGUGUAGAGCCUGAGCUAAUCCAUUUUGAAUUGAUCACAUCUGCAAAAAUCCUAACUCCAGAAAUCCAGAAAACAGAACUUCUGAUAAAUGGGAAUGUUAUCCUCCUGGAGCAUCCGCAUGGGUCCCAUAUGUACUCAUUACUGCAGAGUGUAAACCGAUGGAAUGUCUGUGCAAUCUACUUGCCAGAUGUGAAACCCGGGCUAUGAACCAGCAAUGUUCUGAUUCACAGUUACAGCAUUUAUGGCCUGAUACCACCAUCCACAUGAAGGAAGAGUGCAGGCCCGCUUCACUCAAUGUAUGGAGUAAGGGUGGCAUCCAUCUUCUCCUGCCCUCCAGCAUUAGAGUGUGUGGUUCUCAGGCUUCCUGACUCAGACCGAAUUAUACCACUGGUUUCCUGGUUGUUGUUCUUCACCUUGCUGACCACAGACUGUGGGACUUGUCUGCCUCCACAGCCAGACUGUGCCAUAUAUGAUGGAAAAUCAAAUUUUCACCUUCUCUCAUCUUAGAAAGACUACAGCAAACUCACUUUACUCCAGUCUUGGACGGAAUCAGUUCCCCAAUCUAAAUCUAGCAAUUGUCAAAGGUACACUAAACCAUCAGGUAGAUUUCAUAAGGAUUUUUUUUUAAGAUUUUAUUUAUUCAUGAUAGACAUAGAUAGAGCGAGAGAGAGUCAGAGACACAGGCAGAGGGAGAAGCAGGCUCCAUACUGGGAGCCCGACGUGGGACUUGAUUCCAGGACUCCAGGACCGUGCCCUGGGCCGAAGGCAGGAACUAAACCGCUGAGCCACCCAGGGAUCCCCUCAUAAGGAUUUUUAAGCAAAAGAAAUCUUGGAAUUUCAAAUAAAGAGAGCAUCCACCUGAAUAACCCAUAGAUGAUGGUGUCAAUGGCAGUUCUUGGUGGUUUGCUGGUGGUAGGAUUUAGAGUAAGUUGUGUUUUUACUAC